rnacentral:rRNA from 1 species
UAGCUGGUCUGAGAGAUGGUCAGCCGGACUGGGACUGAGAUACGGCCCAGACUCCUACGGGGGGCAGCAAUUAGGAAUCUUGCACAAUGGGCGAAAGCCUGAUGCAGCGACGCCGCGUGAAGGAUGACGGCCUUCGGGUUGUAAACUUCUUUUAUCAGGGAAGAACACAAUGACGGUACCUGAUGAAUAAGCCCCGGCUAACUACGUGCCAGCAGCCGCGGUAAUACGUAGGGGGCGAGCGUUGUCCGAAUUUACUGGGCGUAAAGCGCGCGUAGGCGGACCUUUAAGUUGGGGGUGAAAUCUCAAGGCUUAACCUUGAAACUGCCUCCAAAACUGGAGGUCUUGAGGUAUGGAGAGGGAAGUGGAAUUCCUGGUGUAGCGGUGAAAUGCGUAGAUAUCAGGAGGAACACCCGUGGCGAAGGCGGCUUCCUGGCCAUAUCCUGACGCUGAGGUGCGAAAGCUAGGGGAGCGAACGGGAUUAGAUACCCCGGUAGUCCUAGCCGUAAACGAUGGAUACUAGGUGUUAGUGGUAUCGACCCCACUAGUGCCGCAGCUAACGCAAUAAGUAUCCCGCCUGGGGAGUACGGCCGCAAGGUUGAAACUCAAAGGAAUUGACGGGGGCCCGCACAAGCGGUGGAGCAUGUGGUUUAAUUCGUCAUUAACCGAAGAACCUUACCAGGGUUUGACAUGUAGGGAAUCCUGAUGAAAGUCGGGAGUGCCCCCUAAAGGGGAGCCCUAACACAGGUGUUGCAUGGCUGUCGUCAGCUCGUGUCGUGAGAUGCUGGGUUAAGUCCCGCAACGAGCGCAACCCUCAUCCGAUGUUGCCAGCGGGUAAAGCCGGGAACUCUUCGGAAACUGCCUGCGUAAGUGGGAGGAAGGUGGGGAUGACGUCAAGUCGGCAUGGCCCUUACGCCCUGGGCUACACACAUGCUACAAUGGACGUUAAACAGAGGGAACCGAUACCGCGAGGUGGGGGAAAUCUCAAAAAUACGUCCUCAGUUCGGAUUGUAGUCUGCAACUCGACUACAUGAAGUCGGAAUCGCUAGUAACCGCAGGUCAGCUAAACUGCGGUGAAUACGUUCCCGGGCCUUGUACACACCGCCCGUCACGUCACCUGAGUCGUCUGCACCCGAAGUCGAUGGCCCAACUCGCAAGAGAGGGAGUCGCCGAAGGUGCGGGGGGUAAGGGGGACGAAGUCGUAACAAGGUAGCCGUAUCGGAGGUGCGGCUG